rnacentral:rRNA from 1 species
GAUCUAGCCAUGGGCAGGUUGAAGGUUGGGUAACACUAACUGGAGGACCGAACCGACUAAUGUUGAAAAAUUAGCGGAUGACUUGUGGCUGGGGGUGAAAGGCCAAUCAAACCGGGAGAUAGCUGGUUCUCCCCGAAAGCUAUUUAGGUAGCGCCUCGUGAAUUCAUCUUCGGGGGUAGAGCACUGUUUCGGCUAGGGGGUCAUCCCGACUUACCAACCCGAUGCAAACUACGAAUACCGAAGAAUGUUAUCACGGGAGACACACGGCGGGUGCUAACGUCCGUCGUGAAGAGGGAAACAACCCAGACCGCCAGCUAAGGUCCCAAAGUCAUGGUUAAGUGGGAAACGAUGUGGGAAGGCACAGACAGCCAGGAUGUUGGCUUAGAAGCAGCCAUCAUUUAAAGAAAGCGUAAUAGCUCACUGGUCGAGUCGGCCUGCGCGGAAGAUGUAACGGGGCUAAACCAUGCACCGAAGCUGCGGCAGCGACACUAUGUGUUGUUGGGUAGGGGAGCGUUCUGUAAGCCUGCGAAGGUGACCUGUGAGGGUUGCUGGAGGUAUCAGAAGUGCGAAUGCUGACAUAAGUAACGAUAAAGCGGGUGAAAAGCCCGCUCGCCGGAAGACCAAGGGUUCCUGUCCAACGUUAAUCGGGGCAGGGUGAGUCGACCCCUAAGGCGAGGCCGAAAGGCGUAGUCGAUGGGAAACAGGUUAAUAUUCCUGUACUUGGUGUUACUGCGAAGGGGGGACGGAGAAGGCUAUGUUAGCCGGGCGACGGUUGUCCCGGUUUAAGCAUGUAGGCUGGUUAUCCAGGCAAAUCCGGAUAAUCAAGGCUGAGGUGUGAUGACGAGGCACUACGGUGCUGAAGUAACAAAUGCCCUGCUUCCAGGAAAAGCCUCUAAGCAUCAGGUAACAUCAAAUCGUACCCCAAACCGACACAGGUGGUCAGGUAGAGAAUACCAAGGCGCUUGAGAGAACUCGGGUGAAGGAACUAGGCAAAAUGGUGCCGUAACUUCGGGAGAAGGCACGCUGGUGUGUAGGUGAAGUCCCUGCGGAUGGAGCUGAGACCAGUCGAAGAUACCAGCUGGCUGCAACUGUUUAUUAAAAACACAGCACUGUGCAAACACGAAAGUGGACGUAUACGGUGUGACGCCUGCCCGGUGCCGGAAGGUUAAUUGAUGGGGUUAUCCGUAAGGAGAAGCUCUUGAUCGAAGCCCCGGUAAACGGCGGCCGUAACUAUAACGGUCCUAAGGUAGCGAAAUUCCUUGUCGGGUAAGUUCCGACCUGCACGAAUGGCGUAAUGAUGGCCAGGCUGUCUCCACCCGAGACUCAGUGAAAUUGAACUCGCUGUGAAGAUGCAGUGUACCCGCGGCAAGACGGAAAGACCCCGUGAACCUUUACUAUAGCUUGACACUGAACAUUGAGCCUUGAUGUGUAGGAUAGGUGGGAGGCUUUGAAGCGUG